rnacentral:rRNA from 1 species
UUUCGCAAUGCCCGAAAGGGUGACGAAGCGACGCCGCGUGUGGGAAGAAGGCCUUCGGGUUGUAAACCACUGUCGAGAGUUAAGAAAUACAAGGAUAUUAAUAGUGUCUUUGUUUGACUAAGGCUCCGGAGGAAGCCACGGCUAACUCUGUGCCAGCAGCCGCGGUAAUACAGAGGCGGCAAGCGUUGUUCGGAAUUAUUGGGCGUAAAGAGCACGUAGGCGGCUAUGUAAGUCGGUUGUGAAAGCCUUCCGCUCAACGGAAGAACAGCAUCCGAUACUACAUGGCUUGAGUGCGGGAGGGGAGAGUGGAACUUCUGGUGGAGCGGUGAAAUGCGUAGAUAUCAGAAGGAACGCCGGCGGCGAAAGCGGCUCUCUGGCCCAUAACUGACGCUGAGUGUGCGAAAGCUAGGGGAGCAAACGGGAUUAGAUACCCCGGUAGUCCUAGCCGUAAACGAUGGGCACUAAGUAGAGGGGUUUU